rnacentral:rRNA from 1 species
AUUGAACGCUGGCGGCAUGCUUUACACAUGCAAGUCGAACGGCAGCGCGGGGGCAACCCUGGCGGCGAGUGGCGAACGGGUGAGUAAUGCAUCGGAACGUAUCCUGUAAUGGGGGAUAACGUAGCGAAAGUUACGCUAAUACCGCAUACGCUCGAGAGAGGAAAGUGGGGGAUCGCAAGACCUCACGUUAUAGGAGCGGCCGAUGUCUUAUUAGCUAGUUGGUGGGGUAAAGGCCUACCAAGGCGACGAUCGGUAGCUGGUCUGAGAGGAUGAUCAGCCACACUGGGACUGAGACACGGCCCAGACUCCUACGGGAGGCAGCAGUGGGGAAUUUUGGACAAUGGGCGAAAGCCUGAUCCAGCCAUGCCGCGUGCGGGAAGAAGGCCUUCGGGUUGUAAACCGCUUUAGUCCGGGAAAAAGGGGUGCGAGGAUAAUACCCUUGUGCUUUGAUGGUACUGGAAGAAUAAGCACCGGCUAACUACGUGCCAGCAGCCGCGGUAAUACGUAGGGUGCGAGCGUUAAUCGGAAUUACUGGGCGUAAAGCGUGCGCAGGCGGUCUUGUAAGACAGUCGUGAAAGCCCCGGGCUUAACCUGGGAACUGCGAUUGUGACUGCAAGGCUAGAGUGUGUCAGAGGGGGGUGGAAUUCCACGUGUAGCAGUGAAAUGCGUAGAGAUGUGGAGGAACACCGAUGGCGAAGGCAGCCCCCUGGGAUAACACUGACGCUCAUGCACGAAAGCGUGGGGAGC